rnacentral:rRNA from 1 species
UACGUAGGUGGCAAGCGUUGUCCGGAUUUACUGGGCGUAAAGAGCGCGCAGGCGGUCGUUCAAGUCGCGUGUGAAAGCCCCCGGCUCAACUGGGGAGGGUCACGCGAUACUGAUCGACUGGAAGGCAGGAGAGGGUAGUGGAAUUCCCGGUGUAGUGGUGAAAUGCGUAGAUAUCGUGAGGAACACCAGAGGCGAAGGCGGCUACCUGGACAAUUGCUGACGCUCAGGCACGAAAGCGUGGGGGAGCAAAAAGGG